CUCAUGGUCCUGCGAGAGGCCCAGCAGCAGCGGCGCCUUCCUUCAGAGGCCGGGACCGGGCCAAGCCGGGUUGAGACUAGGCCGGGCGCAAGCUUGAAACGCGGGGCCGACGCGGGAGCCCAGCCGGUGCCCAGCCGCAGUAGGAACCGUCCGCUCCGGGCCUGAACGGCAGGUGUCUCAGCCAAUCAAAGUGCAGCACCAUGCCGGGCUCCUCCAACCAGCUCGUCUUAGAGGCGGAGACACGCAAAUGAACCGACUGCUAAAGCCAGUGCGCAGCCGCUGCAGCAGCGGUCCCCCACCGGCCUCGGCCUGGGCUUCAUCCUGCAGACGCUCAGAUUUAGAAUCACAAAGAAACCUCUGAGGAUGUCUGUGAAAGACUUCCUAGAAUGGGCUGAUGGGAAGAUCCGUCCUAAAUGUGGGCAAUGCCACUCACUAGACGGCUCAGACCAA